rfam:Ornithobacterium rhinotracheale DSM 15997, complete genome.
GGGGUCGACUGGUUUUGACAGCAAGCCGAGGUGAUAGAUAAGCAUGCCGUGAAAGGUUGUGUACUCACGCUAAUCAGGCACUUCAACUUUAUAACUGGCAACAACGAAUACGCUUUAGCUGCCUAAUUCAGACCGAAGUAUAGUAAGUCUUGGCGUUCUCCCUGCAAGGCAGGGAAGCUAAAUGUCGCGCAAGCGCCCAAUUCUCAUGGCACUUGGGUACGUGGCACAGGAAAAUGAGAAUAGCUUAGAUGAUGUUUCUGCGUUUAAGUGAAAUUUUAUGAAACUAAGGCAUAUUGCGAGGUGUCUUUUCCUUUGAUAUGCACGAAAACCCAACAAUAGACUAAGCAUGUAGAAAGUCUAUGAUUUCCUUGUUUGGACGCGGGUUCGAAUCCCGCCGACUCCACAA